rnacentral:ncRNA from 2 species
UGACAGCUUCACCUUGCGGCCUCGCUCUUCCCCUGCCAUGAGCCGGCGCAGGCGGUUAAGGGAACACGGUGAGACACCGUGGCUGUGCCCGCAACUGUAGGCGGCGAGGCUGUCGUUCGUCCGGGGAUCGCUCCCCGGCGCCACUGGGAAACUGGGAAGGCGAGAACGGCUGUUGGGGACCCGCAAGCCAGGAGACCUGGCCGCCGACGUCGUCCGUC